rnacentral:rRNA from 1 species
UACGUAGGGGGCAAGCGUUGUCCGGAAUCAUUGGGCGUAAAGAGCGCGUAGGCGGCCCUGUAAGUCCGCUGUGAAAGUCAAGGGCUCAACCCUUGGAUGCCGGUGGAUACUGCAGGGCUAGAGUCCGGAAGAGGCGAGUGGAAUUCCUGGUGCAGCGGUGAAAAGCGCAGAUAUCAGGAGGAACACCGGUGGCGAAGGCGGGUCUCUGGGCCGAUACUGACGCUGAGGUGCGAAAGCGUGGGGAGCAAACAGG